rnacentral:rRNA from 1 species
UCUAGCCAUGGGCAGGUUGAAGGUUGGGUAACACUAACUGGAGGACCGAACCGACUAAUGUUGAAAAAUUAGCGGAUGACCUGUGGCUGGGGGUGAAAGGCCAAUCAAACCGGGAGAUAGCUGGUUCUCCCCGAAAGCUAUUUAGGUAGCGCCUCGUGAAUUCAUCUCCGGGGGUAGAGCACUGUUUCGGCUAGGGGGCCAUCCCGGCUUACCAACCCGAUGCAAACUGCGAAUACCGGAGAAUGUUAUCACGGGAGACACACGGCGGGUGCUAACGUCCGUCGUGAAGAGGGAAACAACCCAGACCGCCAGCUAAGGUCCCAAAGUCAUGGUUAAGUGGGAAACGAUGUGGGAAGGCCCAGACAGCCAGGAUGUUGGCUUAGAAGCAGCCAUCAUUUAAAGAAAGCGUAAUAGCUCACUGGUCGAGUCGGCCUGCGCGGAAGAUGUAACGGGGCUAAACCAUGCACCGAAGCUGCGGCAGCGACGCUGAUGCGUUGUUGGGUAGGGGAGCGUUCUGUAAGCCUGUGAAGGUGUGUCGUGAGGCAUGCUGGAGGUAUCAGAAGUGCGAAUGCUGACAUAAGUAACGAUAAAGCGGGUGAAAAGCCCGCUCGCCGGAAGACCAAGGGUUCCUGUCCAACGUUAAUCGGGGCAGGGUGAGUCGACCCCUAAGGCGAGGCCGAAAGGCGUAGUCGAUGGGAAACGGGUUAAUAUUCCCGUACUUGGUGUUACUGCGAAGGGGGGACGGAGAAGGCUAUGUUGGCCGGGCGACGGUUGUCCCGGUUUAAGCGUGUAGGUGUGUGUUCCAGGUAAAUCCGGUUCACUUUAACACUGAGGCGUGACGACGAGGCACUACGGUGCUGAAGCAACAAAUGCCCUGCUUCCAGGAAAAGCCUCUAAGCAUCAGGUAACAUCAAAUCGUACCCCAAACCGACACAGGUGGUCAGGUAGAGAAUACCAAGGCGCUUGAGAGAACUCGGGUGAAGGAACUAGGCAAAAUGGUGCCGUAACUUCGGGAGAAGGCACGCUGACACGUAGGUGAAGUGAUUUACUCA